CCAUAUUCUGUACGGAAUGUGUUGUUUUCCAUUACGUAACCCUCCUGGAACAAGGUGAUUUUUAAGACAAGCAUUGACAAGCAUUGAUGAGCGGCAGGAUAGCCUAGUGGUUAGAGUGUUGGACUAGUAACCGGAAGGUUGUAAGUUCAAACCCCCGAGCUGACAAGGUCUUUCUGUCGUUCUUCCCCUGAACAGGCAGUUAACCCACUGUUCCUAGGCCGUCAUUGGAAAUAAGAAUUUGUUCUUAACUGACUUGCCUAGUUAAAUAAAGGUAAAAAAAAAAUAAAAAAAAUAGUGAGACUGAGGCUAGUCAUGCAUGAUGGUGGUAUCAGAGAAUCUCUACCUUUCUUUCGAUCUCUCUUGCUUUUCUUUUUCUGAUCUCUCCCCAGGCUGAUGCCACACAGCAGAGGGUGGUGAAGAGAGAGGAUGGAGAGAGGCUGGCCAAGGAGUUUGGGGUUCCAUACAUGGAGACCAGUGCAAAGUCUGGCCUCAAUGUGGAGUUAUCCUUCACUGCUGUGGCCAAGUGAGUAUGAAACUACACAGGGGUCCAGUCCAGGAACAAGCCCUAGCCUCUAGCCUUUAGCCNNNNNNNNNNAGAGAUUCUGGGAACAUCAGAAGGUGGGGGGAAAUGAACUAUAUUCUGGUAAUCCGACCAAUUGAACAUAUGCGCUGGUACUUAAUGAAUAUGAUGUCAGUUCGGUUGUCAUCUGAGACAUUCUCAUCAAUGAUAAGAUGACAUAAACUCUACAGUGGAAAGUCUACACAUCAGAGUUAUCAGAUUCACAUGGAAUUGUUGUUCAAUUUAAAUGUUUGAAUAUGAAAUUAUUUGUGAUGAAAUGCGAUUUUAGCUUCUAAAAUUGAGAUUUGGGUUUUCAUACGAUAGGGCUCUGCUCAAUCAGUGGCCCGCCCCUGUGAAGGGACAUGGGCUAUACAACUUUUCAAACACGCCCUCCUCUCCCUUCCUAUAUGAGCCCUUGACGACAAUAUAACCUCCUGUUCCGAGGAUGUGAGGACGACGGUCCUAUGACAGAAUGGUUCAGAUAAUAACUACAGAACGAAGCCAACAUCAGCGUGAGCUUUGGUUGCGAUUGAUAUGAACUUUGAACUCUUAUUCACUACAGAAGUGAUACCUCCUAGC
rnacentral:lncRNA from 13 species